AGCUAGGUGGCACAAUGGGUAGAGUGCCAGACUUGAAAUCAGGAAGAUUUCAUGAGUUCAAAUCUUGUCUCAGAUA
rnacentral:tRNA from 1 species